rnacentral:rRNA from 1 species
CACGUAGGGUCCGAGCGUUGUCCGGAAUUACUGGGCGUAAAGCGUGCGUAGGUGGUUCGUUAAGUCUGAUGUGAAAGCCCUGGGCUCAACCUGGGAAUGGCAUUGGAAACUGGCGACCUAGAGUGCGGUAGAGGGUAGUGGAAUUCCCGGUGUAGCAGUGAAAUGCGUAGAGAUCGGGAGGAACAUCCGUGGCGAAGGCGACUACCUGGACCAGCACUGACACUGAGGCACGAAAGCGUGGGGAGCAAACAGG